UGAUAACUUAACGAAUCGCAUGGCCUUGCGGCGGCGAUGGUUCAUUCAAAUUUCUGCCCUAUCAACUUUCGAUGGUAGGAUAGUGGCCUACCAUGGUAUCAACGGGUAACGGGGAAUUAGGGCUCUAUUCCGGAGAGGGAGCCUGAGAAACGGCUACCACAUCCAAGGAAGGCAGCAGGCGCGCAAAUUACCCAAUCCCGACACGGGGAGGUAGUGACAAUAAAUACUGAUACAGGGCUCUUUUGGGUCUUGUAAUUGGAAUGAGUACAAUUUAAAUCCCUUAACGAGGAACAAUUGGAGGGCAAGUCUGGUGCCAGCAGCCGCGGUAAUUCCAGCUCCAAUAGCGUAUAUUAAAGUUGUUGCAGUUAAAAAGCUCGUAGUUGAACCUUGGGCCUGGCUGGCCGGUCCGCCUCACCGCGUGCACUGGUCCGGCCGGGCCUUUCCUUCUGGGGAGCCGCAUGCCCUUCACUGGGUGUGUCGGGGAACCAGGACUUUUACUUUGAAAAAAUUAGAGUGUUCAAAGCAGGCCUUUGCUCGGAUACAUUAGCAUGGAAUAAUAGAAUAGGACGUGCGGUCCUAUUUUGGUUGGGUUUCUAGGACCGCCGUAAUGAUUAAUAGGGAUAGUCGGGGGGCAUCAGUAUUCAAUUGUCAGGAGGUGAAAUUCUU
rnacentral:rRNA from 1 species